rnacentral:rRNA from 1 species
ACGAAGGGGGCUAGCGUUGCUCGGAUUUACUGGGCGUAAAGGGCGCGUAGGCGGACAUUUAAGUCAGGGGUGAAAUCCCGGGGCUCAACCUCGGAACUGCCUUUGAUACUGGGUGUCUUGAGUAUGAGAGAGGUGUGUGGAACUCCGAGUGUAGAGGUGAAAUUCGUAGAUAUUCGGAAGAACACCAGUGGCGAAGGCGACACACUGGCUCAUUACUGACGCUGAGGCGCGAAAGCGUGGGGAGCAAACAGGA